rnacentral:lncRNA from 1 species
UGAAUAGUAACUAAUCCAUGAACGGUCCAGAUUGAUUCACUUUUAAACGGACGGUCCAGAUUGGUUUAUAAUAAAAUAUAAUAUAUUCUAUUUAUAAUCUAAUAAAAUGAAUAACUUUAUAAAAGUAUUCUGUUUUAUAUAAAAAGAUUUUACUAUGCAAACACUGUGCAGGCACUAUGCAAAUACUAUGCAUAAUAAAAUAUAAUAUAUUCUAAU